AUUGAACGCUGGCGGCAGGCCUAACACAUGCAAGUCGAGCGAGUGGCGGACGGGUGAGUAAUGUCUGGGAAACUGCCCGGUGGAGGGGGAUAACUACUGGAAACGGUAGCUAAUACCGCAUACCAUCGGAUGUGCCCAGAUGGGAUUAGCUAGUCGGUGGGGUAACGGCUCACCUAGGCGACGAUCCCUAGCUGGGCUAAGAGGAUGACCAGCCAUACUGGAACUGAGACACGGGCCAGACUCCUACGUGAGGCAGCAGUGGGGAAUAUUGCACAAUGGGAGCAAGCCUGAUGCAGCCAUGCCGCGUGUAUGAAGAAGGCCUUCGGGUUGUAAAGUACUUUCAGCGAGGAGGCGUUACUCGCAGAAGAAGCACCGGCUAACUCCGUGCCAGCAGCCGCGGUAAUUC
rnacentral:rRNA from 1 species